UACGAAGGGGGCUAGCGUUGCUCGGAAUUACUGGGCGUAAAGGGCGCGUAGGCGGACAGUUUAGUCAGAGGUGAAACCCCGGGGCUCAACCCCGGAACUGCAUCCGAUACUGCGUGGCUAGAGGUAGGUAGGGGAGAUCGGAAUUCCUGGUGUAGCGGUGAAAUGCGCAGAUAUCAGGAGGAACACCGGUGGCGAAGGCGGAUCUCUGGGCCUUACCUGACGCUCAGGCACGAAAGCUAGGGGAGCGAACAGG
rnacentral:rRNA from 1 species